AAAUCCUGGCUCGUACCAAUGAGUUUUUCGGAACUUAUGUACGAAAUAUCAUUUGAUAUUUACCACUAGCUUUUCGGUGAAGGAAAACAUCGUGAGGAAACCUGCAUACAUCUGCGAAGAAAUUCAAAGGUGUAUGUGAAGUCCCCAAGCCGCAUUGGGCUAGCGUGGGGACUAUAGCCCGAGCCCUCUCGCGCAUGAGAGGAGGCCUGUGCCCAGCAGUGGGACGUAUAUAGGCUGAAUUAUUAUUAUUUUAUUAUUAUUAUUAAGAUACAAUACCUAGUUACAAUACCUUAGUUAAAAAAUACAGCGAAUUUAAGUUUUUCAUACAAAACUUGUUUUAGCUCUAUUUCAUUUGUUUUAUAAACUGUAGCUAUAUAAACUAAUUACAGGACUAUAGAUAUACCUCAUGUCAUUGUAUGUGCAAAGUUUCUUUACAAUCCAACACGUAGUGUGACGUAGUUUUUAAAUGACUCUUAAGACCCAGGGAGGAACAUAAUAGGAUAGAUUUAUCCCGGAAAUCAUCCCUUAAGAGGGUGAAAAGCGGGGUGAAUGCCUGAUAAUUGAUGUAAGCAUAUAAAAUGAUAGAUGAUCAAAUUAAAUGACUGCCAUUUUUUUCUCUUAAAUAAGGAUGUUUGUAAGGGAAAUCAUCAAAAGGCAGAUUGGAUAGAAAAUAAGCUACCCAAAUUACUAAUUCCACGCAUACGAAGUCGCGGGCAACAGCUACAUAUUAUAUCACCGUCUAGUAGACUAUCUACUCGUAGUACCCUCAACACAAGCCUUAUUCAGCUUACUGUGGGACUAAGUCGAUUUGUAUAAUAUUGUCCCAUAAUAUUUAUUUAUUUUGUUUCUUAACUAUUUCUGGCAUUGCGUAAAUUUCCUUUACUUCUUAUCUUUAAAAAAAAGAUAAGAUCAUCCUGAAAAGUACACUGCCCGUUUUUCUUCAGGCACUUUAAAAGUAUGUCAAUUUGGGCCCCAGUGAUUUUGCGUGGCGUUUGUGGGGUAGUUAGGUAUGUGUUUAGAUUCAUGGUUUCUGACGUAGGUAUAUGUGUCUGUGAAUGUAGGAUAUGUUUUACUUGACUCAUUUCAUUUGUAAGGUUGCUGAAUCGGCUGAUAUGAGACUUUUUGGAACUUAUUAUUAUUGAGCACACAGCUGUGAUUUUAGAGUUUAGAGUCGCUGUUAAAAGAACCUCCUUCUCGAUUAUCAACCAAAAUUUUAAUUCUACUAUGUUGCGCAUACUUCACCUUCGCCUCUCAGCACACCCAUGUAAUCCUAGUGGAAAACUACGAAACAGAACUACAGGACUUGGGACAACACACGGAAACACACGAAACGCCUGUCAAAGUAAUAAAGAUAACCAAAACUAUCGCGGUAAAGAUUCCAGUGCCAUACCCGGUGAAGGUGAUAGAGAAAGUGCCGUACCCAGUGCAUGUCAAUAAACCAUAUCCCGUGCAUGUGCCGCAUGUUAUUCAGCUGCCUAAGGAGAGGACCGUAGAGCUCAGACCGCACCAUGAGCGAAACCCCAUGAUGAUUACCAAGCGGAACAAGCCCCGGCUUACGACGCGCCUUCAGGACACGAACACUCGUUCGCACCAUUAACAGAACACAUACACGUCGGGGAUGGAUUCAACUAUGGAAACAAUCAGCAUGUGUCGGCGCUCGAAAAUGAAUAUUCCCAAGGCGCUCCAGGCAACUCUUACGGCGCUCCCAACGAAGGACAUCAUUCAUAUGCAGGCGAAGAUGGGCAUAAUUAUGAUGAAUCAAAACAGUAUAACGCAGUGAAGCCCUUUCAUGGGAAAUAGUACCUAGUAACGCCAUUGGUUCAUGUUUUUGAUAGUACGAUGAAUAAUUCCCACAGAUCAGUUAUUUAAGUCAGGUAGGAAUGUUGUUUUGCUGCGAGUGUUGUAUGUUAUGUAAUUUAAUAAUAAUAAUUGUUGCUACAUGUGUAAGUGUUAUACGUCAAAUAGGUAUGAUUGUGACCUGAAAUGUUAAAUGUGUAUUUUGUUCGCAAACGUUCCUACUACGAGUUUGCGAACGACAGUUCUACCUACAUGUAAUUUAUAGAUGAGUAAAACGUAUGUGUUCAAUGAA